GAUGAAGAACGCAGCGAAAUGCGAUAAGUAGUGUGAAUUGCAGACUUUAGUGAAUCAUCGAAUUUUUGAACGCACAUUGCGCCCCUUGGUAUUCCUUAGGGCAUGCCUGUUCGAGCGUCAUUUAAACCUUCAAGCUCAGCUUGGUGUUGGGUGACUGUCCGCUUCACCGCGGACUCGCCUCAAAAUUAUUGGCGGCCGGUACAUUGGCUUCGAGCGCAGCAGAAACGCGAACUCGGGCCCGUCGUAUUGGCUCCCAGAAGCUAUCUUCACAAUUUUGACCUCGGAUCAGGUAGGGAUACCCGCUGAACUUAAGCAUAUCAAUAAGCGGAGGA
rnacentral:misc_RNA from 1 species